rnacentral:rRNA from 1 species
UACGAAGGGGGCUAGCGUUGCUCGGAAUCACUGGGCGUAAAGCGCACGUAGGCGGCUUUGUAAGUUAGAGGUGAAAGCCCGGAGCUCAACUCCGGAAUUGCCUUUAAGACUGCAUCGCUCGAAUCAUGGAGAGGUGAGUGGAAUUCCGAGUGUAGAGGUGAAAUUCGUAGAUAUUCGGAAGAACACCAGUGGCGAAGGCGACUCACUGGACAUGUAUUGACGCUGAGGUGCGAAAGCGUGGGGAGCAAACAGG